GUAGCAAUGGGACAAGGAGUAAUGGCUUAAAAUUUGAACAUAGGAAUUUCCAUACGAAUAUGUGGAAGAACUUGCUAACAUUAAGGGUGAUGUAGCAGUGGAAAAGGUUGUCCAGAGAGGUGGUGGAGUCUCCUUCCCUGAAGGUAUUCAGGAUCCAUCUGGACGCCUACCUGUGCGGCCUAUUGUGGGGAACCUGCUUUAGCAAUGGGGUUGGACUCAAUGAUUUCCUGAGGUCCCUUCCAACCCCUGCGGUUCUGCAAGCCCUGUAUCGCCUAUGUAAUUAUCAGUAGAGAUUGAUUUAACAAAGCUGCACAAAUCUACCUGACAUGGUUUUUUGAAGCUACCAGAUAAAAAGAUAAGUUUACAGAAGAGAGAAGUGACUCUUUGGUUUUAAGCAUUAUCUAAAGGGCUGAGUGGUAACUGUCUGUUAUGUUUACUCUUUGUGUCCAAGGAUUGAUUACUCAUCUAAAAGUCAAUGGUUGCCUAGUGACAAGCAAUUAUGCUCUAAUUUGAUUUCUUGUGUACACAUGAGACAUUGUCUUGGCCCAGAGCUGUGGAGUUUUCAAUAAGACAUAUCCAUGGGUUUUGGCAUUUCUGUAAUAAGCCUCCUGCACAUUUUGGUUAAUAUUUGGGAGAUUUUGCAUGAUGUUACUUGUUUUUAUGUUCAAGGGUAGAAUAUGGAGGCACUUCUUUGUUUGAUUGUUUUGGCUUGUUUUAUUUUUGUUGUUGUUGUUGUUUUAUUUUGUUUUGUUUUUUGAAUGGCUGAUUGUUAAUGUAUGCUAUAAGUACAGUGGUUUAAAAUUAUGAUUAAAUUGAUUCUUUUACCCGGGUUUACUUUAGCACUUCUGAAAAAUCAUAUUUAUGUGUCUUUGAUAAAGUGGGCUUUUUUCUUUCAUUUUGUUUUUUUUUGUUUGCUUGUUUGUUUUUAAUAUAUAUAUUUUUUCUCAGCUGAGUUGUAAGAGGAAAUGCAUCACCAAGCCUUACCAUGCUGAAGAACAAAGUACCAUAAUUUGAGACACAGGCACUUACAGUCUUAGCAACCCAUAUACAAGUGAUGUUGUUCUCCACACACUCCUAAAAGGUUUUUCAACACAACAUGAUGUCACUGAAUCAGUGAGUGGCCCUAGCUCUUCUGCCAGCUCUGCUUCAAGAAUGACGAUUUGAACUGAAGACAUUGCAAUGCCAGUGUUUUGCUUAAAAACAAAUAAGUAUUGCAAGAAAACAAAGCUGAAAGCCAGCCAAACAAAAAAAGCUCCAUAAAUAUUGGUGUCUCUUAGUAUCAGGGAAGACUGAAUUUAAUGCAAGCCAUUAAUUAAAGAUUCCAAUCACUUUGGAGCAUUUUAAAAGCUGUUAUUUCAUCAGCUGUUUUCAAAACCUGAUCCUGAUCAAUCACCGUAUAAAUUCUAGUCCAAACCAUCUUCAGCAAAAUGCCAUUAAACCAUUUUAAUCUGUUAAAUAUUAUUUUUAAAUUAUUAAAUAUUACAAAUAAUCACACUCUCGCUAUCACAGACCGCUAUGUAAACCAAACCCAAGUAAACUCAGGGACUGGAGGACAACCAUCUGCUUUCUGGUGCCCAGGAGUCUGACUGGGCCCAUGUAUUUUACAGAAUACUAGACUAACAGGACUUCCCUACUUCAAAUAUACUUUAAAGUAUAGUCAAAAUACAAUUCUGAAGAUAUGAUUGUAUAUUAUGAAGGUUACGGAGCAGAUUGUCUUGAGUGCAAUCACACA
ensembl:lncRNA